rnacentral:lncRNA from 1 species
CGCGCAGCCCCGCCGGCCCAGGCCCCGCCUCCCGCCGGGCGCGCUCCUCACCCCGCAGCCCCCAGCCCGCUUCCGCCUCGACGCCAGGAGGCUCCGGACUCGCCUGCCCGCGGCCUCCGGGCAGGUUUGUACCAGAGGACGAUAAAAUCCGUUGAGCAGACACACGCCCCUCCACUAUUGGCUCUAGGAGGGAAAAGCCCAGAAGAAACUCUCACCUACUCACACUCGACCACGCUGCUCAGGGCGCCGGCGGUGUGGGUGCUCUGGAAUUUCUCGCCCCUGAAUCUCCACUGGACACGAAAGCCGCUGUUAGGGUAAGACCGGAACCUCGACUCCAGGAAAUCUCGUCCUUCCGCCCCAGAAGAGGAGCCUGGGCCUCAGAUUCCAGCGUCUGAGGAGACCCCCCCAGGUCCUCACCCUUUGCCGCCGGCCGGGCUCCUCCGGGUCGAAGGUGAGACUCGCAGCAGCAACUCCGAGUCCGGACCCUUGGUCUCCCCUUGGACCUGCGCCAACGAGGAGAUGCCCCCCCCCCCCC